rnacentral:tRNA from 1 species
GCUGUGGCUCAGUGGUAGAGUUCAUCUGCUUGGUGUUCAGAAUGUCCCAGGUUCAAUCCCGACCAUCUCCA